CUCUGUUUGCUAUUCGUGCUGUAGCUGCCGUUGUUUGUUUGCCUUGUUAUACACACCAGUAAAGAACUGCUAUUCCUAUUCCCGUAUCUUUGCCUGAGAGCCCCGUAAUUUCAAAAUUUAAUAAUUUGGAGGGAAGAGGUUUAUAUUUUCCAUUACAAUGGAAGGUCCUGCCUUCCUUAGCAGGUGUCUGUCUUUCAAACCAAGACAACAUUAUAUUUAUUUUUAGAGAUGGAGUUGCAAAUAUUAUAAAAUUCUCUCAAAAUAAAAACAAAAGUGAAUUCUCAAAAAAAAUUCUUUUUCAUGCUUAAUUAGGUGCAUGCACUAUUGUAAACAUUUCUCCACGAACAAGCAAUCUCCCGGCCUAAUCACACUUCCUAUACGGUUGCAGUUCAUUAUCACAAUUUCUCUGUACCUGAAACCCCAUUAGCCUCUCCGCCCUGCUGUGCCACUACAGCUACAAUCCUUGUGUUUGGAUCUUUAGACACAAAGACUCCAGUGUUGGUGAUCUACAUCAGAAAUAACUUAAUUUAUAGGCAAUUUCCAAGUAACUUUGACCAAUAUGUCUUUGAAUACACUACAUUUCUGAAAGUCACACUUUAUGUCCCAGUGGUUCUUGAUUAUUAGCCCUAUAAAUUUAAGGUGGGAUAGGAGAGAAAAUGCUACCACAUGAAUCAUAGGUUCAUGCUUCAUUCUUAUUCUGAGUAUUUUGUAUUCUGCCUCAGUAAUUCUGAUUAUUUUACAAUUGCAUAUUAAUUUUCAGUAUAAAGUGUUUUAUAGAAAAUUGAUUUGAAGGACAUCUGGCUUUAACCAGAAGUUCAAACCAUGUGUAAUCAUGGUUAUAAAAUUUAGAUAAGGAGGUUGGAAGGCUAUAUUGACAAAAAGCCUGAGGCUCUGGGACUGGAACUUGCACAGAUGAAAUCACCUAAGACUAUAGUGAGCUCCCAAAACUCUCCUAACCCCAGGAAGGUCCUAAUGUCUUACUGGACUAAACAGUUUAGGGCACCUCUCAUACCUACAUAAGUCAAGGGCUUGGACAGCUAAGAACAGGCACCUAUUCUAUAAAGUGAAAUAGAAAAGAAGGCCCUUAAACACUGGUUCAGAAUAGAUUCCCUGCAUGUUGGGAUGUAAUGCCUAGGGCUCCUGGCUGCAGAAGGAAGACCAAUACCAGGGAAGUCACAGGGAAGACCUUAGAGCAGCCUUCUGGUACCUAAAUGGGAUCUGCAAGAAACCUGCAGAGGGACUUUUUUAAAGGGCCUGAAGUGACAGGACUCCAUGAGUGGGUAAUGGUUUCAAGACAGCAGGUUUAUAGUAGAUACAAGGAAGAAAUUCUUUCCUGUGAGGCUGGUGAAACACUGAAACAGGCUACCCAGAGAAACUGUGGAUGCCCCAUGCCUGGAAGUGCUCAAGCCAGGAUGGAUAGGGUUUAGAGAAACCUGGUCUGGUGUCCCAGACCAGGCUAGUGGGGCUGGAACAAGAUGGUUUUGAAGGUCCCUUCUAACACAACCCCAUCCAGGACUCCAUGAUAUCAUUCUAACACUGAGUCACAAGCAGGGGCAUAUGUGCAUGAGUCAAGGCAGAGAAACUGGGCUCAAAACACACCUGUCUUCAGUAUCUCUCAGUGUCCUUACAUGUCAUGCAGGCCUCUAGGGAUUCUACCUGAGUCCCUCCUGGUGGCUCAGACGUCAGUGCUAAUCUCCACAGAGCUCAGCUGCAUGGCUCAGAAGCCACUGCCUGGCUUCACUCUCAGUCCUCUAUUUGUGAUGUAAAGGGAGCUCUGCUCUUUUGGCCAGUUUACCCAGUGUCUCACAUCUUUUAUGCAGCUCUGAAGGCUGAUAAAAAAUUAAGGUAAUUUAAGGCAAAGGCGGAAAUUCUCAUCAGUUCCUGGGCUUUGGUCAAGACGCACAGGGAUGACCAUCAGUAGCCACCAAGCUGAUAUAAAGAGAGCCUGAUCAGUUGCUGGGGAUGAUGGAGGCCCACCCACCAUGCUGGGAAGCAAUGAAGUUAUGAACACUUUGAGAUGCCAGUGAAUGAAGAGAACACAUAAAGACUGCAGCCGUUUUUGAAGGGAAUUCUUUACUUUCUUCUUGGAAAACUCUACUUCCUCAGAUUCUGCUUGAGACAAAACCUUUCACUUAUAAAACACAACAGAGAAAAACACCAUUGAAACAAUUCUUCCACUCAGUUGUAGCUUGUGCAUUAAUUUAAGUGAACUUCAAUCAAAAUGUGAUAGAAGUCUAACUAAUAAAUGUCAUAAGAAGAAAAAAAGUAUCAAACCCCAAAUGCAUUUUGGGGAAGAAGUGCUGAGCAUCCUUAACUCCAGCUGACUGCCUGAAGACCUGUGAGCCCAGUACGUAUCCAGCCUGAUGCACUUCCACCUCCAGCCCCACCCCAAACAUAUAUUUUGAUACACAUCCAUAAAAACUCAUCUCUGUAAAUGUUUGGCUCUAUAGCUCAUACAAUGGGACUUAAAAAUGUUAAAGAUAUUGAGCAUUAUUUUGAAUCACAAGCAUGUUGCUCUUGACUUUCAAGUAUUUCAUCACUUAUGUAAUUUCUAGCUGUUUCUAUCUUUAGUAUAACUUAAUAGACAGUAUACAAGGUCUCUCAUUAAAGAUCCUCUUUAGUAAAAAUGUUUGUAAUUUUUCAAUGUACUCAUCGUUACUUUAGAACUUCUUGGUUUCUAAAGGAUAUAUUUGUUCUGACACAGCUAAAACAUGCACAAUUAUUUAGUGCAAAGAUGAUGACCAGGUGCUGACAUGCAAAGUCAUAAUUUCCCCUAAGCAGAAGUGGCCUCUGAAAGAGAUUAGGAGAGAGAAGUGCUGAAGGGCUGCACUUAAGAGGCUCCAGUAAUGGAGCCAUGGUACUGUCAAGGCGACCAUAGUCACAAAGGGCUCUCAGCUCUCACAUUAAUAUUUUCUGAAAAAUCCCUUAGCCCAGGAUUUUUCUCCUGGGAAGCUGAGAAGCCUCAGAGAAAAAGGAAAACAAUAAUUAUCUUAUUUGCUUCUCCUGUGUUUUGCUCCUUUGGAAUGUGUUUGGAGAUUGUUUACCAACAGGUGAUUGUCUUACUGGUUUCUUGUGUGAAUUAUUUUGACUCAAUGGCCAAUCAGUGCCAAGCUGUGUCGGGACUUUGGAAAGAGUCACGAGUUUUCAUUAUUAUCUCUUUACCCUUCUGUAAGUAUCCUUUCUGUAUUCUUUAGCAUAGUAUAGUAUAGUAUUCUUUAAUAUAACAUAGUGUCAUAAAAUAAUAAAUUAGUCUUCGGAGAACAUGAGUCAGAUUCAUCAUUCCUCCCUGCCACGAGGGCCCCCACAAAUACAACACUCAGCACUGGGUGCAAGCAUGGGGAGCAGACCUCCUGCUGGUUUAGCACCAGCCACCACAGUGAUGGUGGCACAACAGAGUUCAGGCAGGCUGCCAGUGUCAGUACUGCUGGCUGUCAGGAUCUGUGCUUUGCUGGUGACCAAAGUCUUGAGAUGACAGAUGGAACCCAUUCCCUAAAUCCAUUUACUAGAGGUUUUCCAUGACACUAACUGGCUGCAGUCAGAGCCCAUUUCCUGAAAGCAUCAUGAGGGAGGCAAAAUCUGCUAUAUUUGGGGAACUCACCCAUUACUGUCACUACCCAAAAGGAAUCUAAAUAGAAAAUUGUUUUUUUCAGUAUCCAACUGGAUUACAUUUGCUUUGAUUGCACCUACUGUCCCUUGGAAAUGAAACCCUUCACACUGCUCCAGCUCCUGACUCGACUUAGGGGAAUACUUUACAUUGCUAAAGAAUGCUAACAGACAGAUUUUGACAGAGAUAUCAGCAACUGUAAUAAAGUGAAAAUAGAAAACUUCAGUACCAGUGCAACAUAUACUUCUCAUUAAUGUUUAAAAAAUGAAGGACAGACUGGCUCAGCUUUUAUUCUUUUUUCACAAGCUUGGCUAAAGAACUAGAGCAGAAGACAGGCCUCGGUUACAGGUUAGUGGAAGGAUGAAAGAAAGGCUUCCUAUCUGGAUUCCCAUUAGCUCAUUGCAUGAAUUAGAGUUGCUGUGUUCCUUGCAUCUGUCUAACAGCUGAGUUUAUACAGCAACACCUACCUGCACUGCUGCAGAAUGUGCCAUCUGAGAAACUGAAAGGGCUUUAAAAAUGUUGCUGAAGUUAAACUCAUAAGGAAGAAGAUAUAGCUCAGCCACUAAACCACAACUGCAUGCCUGUAGCUUCAUACCCAGUAGCAAGUGCAAAACAACUGGAGACAUCCCAACAGUGAUGAUAAAGAAAUGACUACCAUAUAUUUACUGAAAUGCAAGAGUGCAUAGGAAGAGCUCCCCCAAACUCUUGUAUUUUGCUCCUAUAUUAAUGUUUUCCAAACUAUUUUGAGAUAAACCAAUAAAUAGGCAUGUGGUAUUUAAUGUGGUUAGAGCUGUGGUUACAGUUCUAAGAGAUUAGAUCAUUUUUAGAGCAGUACUGAGGUUACAAAGAGCCUAAACUGCCUAACAGUUAGAAAGAGCAAUCAGUCCUGACAGCACAUGUGCUCACUACUGGUUAGUUAUUUACAAUGAUGUAUCCAUUUAAUUUGGGUCUAUUUUUGUCUUAAAAGUUUCUCUCCAUCAAAGUGACUUAGUAAUCUGUUACUAUUUAAACGCUGUGCCUUGAACCUUCACUGAUGAAAACUGAUUUCACUGCUGCACCCCCGAGCUUCUCAGAAUGGAACCUUCAGGGGAAGGCAUUUUUAGGGACAAAUGGCUAGCAAGCAGCAUUCACUGUAUGCAUACUGCUGUAUGCAAGCAGCAUUCACUGUAUGCAUACUGCUGGUUCCAUUAUCAAUAUGUAAUUGAUCACUUAGGCUGUGUGGUUUUGUUUGAGAAUCCUAGUAGGAAAUGAAAUUAUAGUACACCAAAGCAAAUAUUAGGCAAAUAAUAAAAGGUAUGUUUAAAGAAACUAUCAGAAAACUCACAAUUAAAAAGAAAACACUGAUAUAGCUAUCUGUGGUGCUGACUAGUCCAUCAUCCUCAGUCAUGUUUUAAACUUCACAACAAACUGUGAGAUAAAAAUAAGGACAGGAGGGAGGCACAUCUGCCUUGAUCUAUCUAUUUAACAAGAUAAUGUAAUUUUUUAGAUGAGGAAACUGCAGUAGCUCUUGCUUAUCUUGACUCCAGAUACAACAGUACUGUACCACAAUUCAGGCUUCUGCUGUUCAGUCUCUCUCUCCAAAAGCCUUUGACAGGACCCCCAGGGCAAGAAGAGGAACAUGGCCCUUAUUUUAAAAGGACUGGUUUGACUUAGGGUCCAAACAUUAGUGACCUGUCCAUCAUGAUUCAGCUGGAUUAACUGAAUCCCAGUCUCCUUAAAAGCAGGAGCCAUCAAUAUAAUUGUUGGUGAAUGUGUUUGUUUAGCCUAGCAGAGAAAGGCUGAAGGAGAAUACACUUAUUUGAAUCAGUGUAUCAAGUCUGUUGCUCAGCUCACCUUGCAGACCAGCAGCUUCACCCUAACAUUUGCCUUGAAUCUGUCCUGUUGCAAUUUAAAAUGCCCCCAGUGGUUAUGGAGAACAAAUUGCAGCCUGCUCUGGGGAGUGCAGCCCUCCUAGUGCUAAGCUGCUGGGGGACCCUGGAGAACAAGAUCUUGUGAAUUUAUCAAUGGACUUUAUUUAAUUUCCUAAUUUAUUUUCACCUUUACUUAAAUUUCGAUUAAACUGGUCGACAGUUUCCUUGCCACCACUGGUGCUCACUUAGAUAUUGUGACAGUCAUUUUGGCACAAGGACAUGUACAGGGAAUUGCUGGAGAAAAACAGCAAAUUUUGUUGGAAAAAUUUACUGGGGAAGAUGGAAAACCCCAAUUUCACUUGUAUCCAAAUUAAUUCAUUUGGCCAUAUGCCAAUUUUGGUUAGAGGUUCAAUAUACAGUUUCCACAAAUUUGCAUACAAGUAAUCAUCUCUCACAUUAACUUAGAUAAAAAAGUAAGUACAAAAAACCCAUGGAUUGUAGUUAGUAUAUUCCAGAGUGAUUAGGAAUAGAAUUUUUUCCACUAUUCAGCUAUUUGUGUAUGUGUAUUAAACUAAUUUGUUCAUUUCAGGGAAAGAAUUGCAUGAAAGCAAUGUCAACUCAGAGGGAAAAUUGCUCAUAACUGAGUGGGGGAAAAGCUACAGAGAAUUAAUGUUUUGGUAUAGAGACGAUACUGGUAGAGAGAUAUCAA